CUAAAAAGAGCCGUUACAUGGCUUGCCAGCUGUCUCCCGAAAAUUUCCACCGGAUAUGGAUUUCUCCCUUGCUCUCUCACUUUCUCCAUUGCUCUCUCACUUUGGCCUUGCUCUCUCACCGUCUCCCUCGUCUUCGACGGAUUAUCUCACCGAUCUUCUUCUUCUUCAACAAGUUAUCUCAUCUUCUAAAAAACUGAAGGGGAUAAUCCCCUUAAAUCCCCAUCAGUGUUCUUUUUCUUUUUGAAGAUUAGGGUUUUUAUCUGACUGAGGGGAUGUCGAGGAAUAUAUUUGCUAGGGCUUUUGGCAGCUCUAUGGUGAUUUUCUACCAAGUAUUGACGAAUGUACAAGCUUGCUUCUAGCCUCUGAGAUUAGGGCUUUUACGAAAGACUAGGUUACCUGCUCCCUGAAGGGGAUGUCGAGGAAACUCAGGAUGGAACUCGUUCAAAGAAGAUCGGACACAUCUUCUUACUCGGCCGAUACAGGUGGAGCAACCUAUGAAGAAAGGGAUACUUCUGACUAUUGGGAUAGGCGCUGAGCUCUUUCUCAUUCCGAUCUGGGUGUGACCUUUCUGCCUACUAAGUUGAGCGGACUCUUCCUCAACUUCAUUCCCCUAGCAAGAUAUGAUGAAUGAGAUUCGGCCGGUGGUCGUCUGUUGGAAAUACAACAAAUUAUUGAAGAGUCAACACAAGAUGGUGUUCAAAAUCUUCGGUGCAAAGGUGAUGAUAUUAAAAAACGGUUGAGGCUAGGACAAGAAGGAGGUGCACCUUCAAACACUUAGAUGGAAAUGAAGGGAAUAGAGUUGGGGCCAUCCGACAAGAAAGCCUACACCCAGUUGCUACAUUCUAACACUCGUCACCAAAGAAAUUUUCUAUUGACAUCGUGAACAUUUUUCUCGUAAUAAGUAUAACUGAUUUUGCAGCCGCUUUGACUUCUGAUGACGAACAUGAAGUAAGUUGAUUCCAUUUAUUUCCCAUUUGCUCUAGUUAGCCAAAAAUUUACGUCGGCUUACACAAGGUACGUAAAUAAUUUUCUAUAGUUAUAUGGGCCAAGAUGAUGAAAGAGGCGAGGAUGGAGGCGUACGUUGUGUCUUAUAAAUCUUACCGUCUUAACUAUCAUGAGUUGAUCUAAUGAUAAAAAGGAGACACGGUCUCAAUGACUAACUAAAAGGUUAUGAGUUCAAUCCAUGGUGUACAUAGGCUGGCUCGAACACUCACAAAUAUAUAUAUAAUCUUACUGUUUUUGGAAUACGUUUAUGAAAAAAAUGCUUUUCAAAACGAACUACUCUUGUUACAAGCAUGUUUGAAAAAAUUAAUAAUUUUAAUUGUUAUCUGAAAUUGACUUAAAAUGAUCAAAGAAAAUCUUUAAAUUUUGUAGUAAGAAACAAAAGGUUGUAAUUAUUAGAAUAACUUUUUAAUGUAAAUGUAGCCCACUCGUACACAUUUGUUAUUUUGUUCACAUUUGAUAAAAUUUAAGAUGUAAUUUUUUUAUUAAAAAUGUUUUAAGAAAAUGUUCUUAAACCAGAAGGUACCAAACAUACCCUUGAAACUUUUGUGGUAUAAGUUCUUGCAGGGUUUCAUUGCUUUUGGUUUUAUUGGUUCCUUAUUUAACAUGUGAAUGAUGAAUCAUAUGGCAAAGCAUGAAAUAUAAACAUCCCAAGUUGAUUUAAGUAAUUUACACUCCUUUUUUCCAUUACAUAAAAAAUUAGACGAAGGGCUGAAUGUCCAUGAAGAAUCAUAGUGCCUGGUCAGCUCUCUUUCAAAUCAGUGCUCUCCAAAAACAAAUUCUUUGCGUUGAUUGCUUUCAAACUAUACCCUACAUAGAUGCUUUGAUUGUAUUAACCUUUGUUUAAAUUAUUUUGUUUUUAGUUUCCUACUUUUCAAAAGUAUACAAUAUACUUACUUUCUGACCAUUUCUUUCUCUCUCUUUUUCAAAUUUCUCAAAGAACACCUUGCCGAUUUGUCUUUCAAAUUUUUCAUAAAAGCAGAAUUUUUAAGAAUUUAUUAAAAGCAGAAUGAUUAUGAAAUGUAAUGGGUUAUAACGUUCUUCUACUUCUUAUUGACACUACUUGACAUAUCUACCAGACUUGAAAAAGGCAAGAGGAAACUAGGAAAGGUGGCUGGAAAUGGCCAACAACUUGAAGGAACAACUUCUAUCAUCUCUAUGAAACAUAUUUUGCUCAAGCUUGCUGAUUUGAUGAAUAGCGCCAGGAAUCUAUCUAACAUCCACGCUGAUACUGCUCCCUACCCCCUCCUAACUCUGCGCCGGUUAUUCACCGUCUUCUCUCUCUCGCCAAAGGAUCCUUCCCUCUCUCAACUCCACGUCGGGUCCUUCUCCAUGUUCUCUCCCUCGCCCGUCUUUUCUUUCUACGAAAGUUAUAACCAUCCGUCUCACUCUCCUACUCCCUUCUUCGUUUUGCUUCAUCGAAUCCUUCCGGAGGUUUGUUCUUAUUUUAAUAUUAUUUGAAUUAAUUUCCUUUUUUUUUUUUUUUGGAUUCGGUUGAAUACGUGCAUUUUCUUUCCCGAAAAGAUGAUACUAGCUGGUUUCAGUAAUCAAUCAGUAAAUCCAGAAAUUGGGUUAUGGGGAAUUUAGGGAUUGAUUUUAGCGAAGGGUCUCCUUUGUUCCUCUGUUUGGGUCAGCGGAAGAAGUGGCGGAGAUGUUCGAUCAAACGGCGGCUAGUGCGGCGGAGGUAAAACAAGCUUUUGAUGUGUUUGAUGUUAAUGGCGAUGGGUUUAUCGACGUUGAAGAAUUGCAGAGAGUGAUGUGUGUUUUGAGAUUCAAAGAAGUAGAAGGGAUUGAGAAUUGCGAGAAGAUGAUUCGUAAGUUUGAUUGUAACAAAGACGGGAGAAUUGAUUUGAAGAAUUUGUUAAAUUGAUGGAGGGUGUGGGUUGAUGGUAAUUGAAAAGAUUGAAUUUUUUUAUUUAUUGAAUUGAUGUUUGUAGUGUGGUCGAAAAUGAAGGCUUUUGCCCUUUUGUGAUGUUUUGUAGGGUAAAUGGAAUUGAAACAUUGGCCAUUCUAUUUCACUAUGUAAUUUUCAUAUAUAUAUGAUACAAUGUUCACAUA